GUACCGGUAUGUAGCGGUAUUUGAAGGUAAAACCGGUACCGAACCGAUAUGGAAAACUUAGACCAUCGAUUGGACAAAUCUUACUAGAGAUGGCGAGCAGGAUUGAGCUUUGUACCAACCAAUACCAAAAAUCCAAAAAAAACGGGUAUUGGUAAUGAAAAUACCCGGUAUUGACUGAUAUUUGAAGGUAAAAACCGGUACAUGAAACACUAAAUUUCAGUACCGAAUCGGUACCAAAAAUCGAGUCAGUUUGAGAAAUUUGAUACCAGUACCAUUUAUUCAUCUCUAAUGAGGAGAACAUCCAUUAUUUUUGUGUUCAAAAGUUAACAAAUAAAAGAAUUUUAUUCAUAAAUAAUUUUAUGAUAAAGAUAGCCUUGCAUACAUGAUGCGCACACAUAACAUAUAGGCCUAUGCGAUCAAAACACACUGGGGCGCCACACUCUUUUUUAACACCAAGAUCUUAGUCAUGGAGAAUUAGAAUAGUUGAUGAUAACUAAUGGACAUCUUAAUAGGUGAUUUCGUUUCCCCUAUUCUUUAGUGUGUUAUUUUCAUUAUUAGUUCUCGAUGCUGAUGUUGGCACAAAUGAUAGUAUUUUAAACUAUUUCAAAUUUGGUUCCAAUCUAGGGUAAGUUCUAACGUAAAAGUACAUAGCUAUACAAAAUAUAUUUAUGUAGAAGUCAUGUUCGCAUUGUUUCUUGGUUAUGCUCCCAAGUACGUUUAACGAGUCAAACUAGGAGGCUGACCAGAAUCAUUAUUUCUUCAAAUUUCUUCUAAACAAAAAACUAAGAUAAUAUGCUUACAGAGAUUUUAUGAUUUUGAUAACAAUCUGAUUUUUUUAAGUAACUUGAUUUUAACCAUUGGGGUUGCUGGCCCAAUGGGAGAAGCAAAACUUUUAGGACCACCUAAAUUGGGGAGGUCAUGGGUUCAAGUCCUACAAGGAGUAAAUAGAAAAUUCGCCGUUCAAAAAAAAAGAGUAACAUGAUUUUAGGUCUUGUGCGUUAAUAAUACAUAUAGAUCAAUUUUUUACCCCCCCUCCUUUUAUCACUUAUCGGUUUGUGGUAAUCUUAUGUAAUUUUGUUCCUUUCAGUCAAGGGGUACUGCUAUCACUGUUGCAGCAAUUGGCAUGUGAUAUUGGGAAUGAUACAUCUAAGAAACUUGGUUGGAUGAUGGAUCUGGUGGUGGUGAUUAAACCAACUGAUGGGAUCAUCACAAUGUAUAUAAGGCCGAUAUUUGAACAAGUGUACUCGAUCAGAUGAUUGUUCCCACAACUUUAGUUGCUGAGCUUUCCAGUAUUCGUGUGGUCACGAAACUCAUAAACUCGACGUUAAGGAGCAUGUAAUAACGGCCCGAAAGCAUUAUCUUCCCAAACUAAUUUUAUUCGUAGGGAUUGGUGGUUAUUCAUUCUUUUGGGCAAUAUGCUAAAAGAAAGUAUGUUUCCAGUAAUAUGUUGCUAAUAAACUUAGGAUAAGUAGUGACUUGGAAAGUAUAAAUUUCGCUACGGAACAAGAGUUUUAGGUGAUAAGAGGCAGAGUAAGGAAUAUGUUAUUUAAAAGCAAUGAGAUUAUGAGAUCGAAAGAACUCAAACAAGGCUUUUAUAGUUGAGUUCAACUGUAAAUAACUAUUUUUAGUUAGUUAAUUGUUGCCACAUUUGUGAA